rnacentral:rRNA from 1 species
CGCGUGUACUGGUCCGGCCGGGCCUUUCCCUCUGUGGAACCCCAUGCCCUUCACUGGGUGUGGCGGGGAAACAGGACUUUUACUGUGAAAAAAUUAGAGUGCUCCAGGCAGGCCUAUGCUCGAAUACAUUAGCAUGGAAUAAUAGAAUAGGACGUGUGGUUCUAUUUUGUUGGUUUCUAGGACCGCCGUAAUGAUUAAUAGGGACAGUCGGGGGCAUCAGUAUUCAAUUGUCAGAGGUGAAAUUCUUGGAUUUAUUGAAGACUAACUACUGCGAAAGCAUUUGCCAAGGAUGUUUUCAUUAAUCAGGAACGAAAGUUAGGGGAUCGAAGACGAUCAGAUACCGUCGUAGUCUUAACCAUAAACUAUGCCGACUGGGGAUCGGACGGUGUUAUAUUUUGACCCGUUCGGCACCUUACGAGAAAUCAAAGUGCUUGGGCUCCAGGGGGAGUAUGGUCGCAAGGCUGAAACUUAAAGAAAUUGACGGAAGGGCACCACCAGGGGUGGAGCCUGCGGCUUAAUUUGACUCAACACGGGGAAACUCACCAGGUCCAGACACAAUGAGGAUUGACAGAUUGAGAGCUCUUUCUUGAUUUUGUGGGUGGUGGUGCAUGGCCGUUCUUAGUUGGUGGAGUGAUUUGUCUGCUUAAUUGCGAUAACGAACGAGACCUUAACCUGCUAAAUAGCCCGUAUUGCUUUGGCAGUACGCUGGCUUCUUAGAGGGACUAUCGG